AUGGUGUGGGGGAUACCUUGUUGGGGAACACAGUAUCUAUCACCUCCUGCAGUUUGGUCAUGGUGUGGGGGAUACCUUGUUGGGGAACACAGUAUCUAUCUCCUCCUGCAGUUUGGUCAUGGUGUGGGGGUUACCUUGUUGGGGAACACAGUAUCUAUCUCCUCCUGCAGUUUGGUCAUGGUGUGGGGGUUACCUUGUUGGGGAACACAGUAUCUAUCUCCUUCUGCAGUUUGGUCAUGGUGUGGGGGUUACCUUGUUGGGGAACACAGUAUCUAUCACCUCCUGCAGUUUGGUCAUGGUGUGGGGGUUACCUUGUUGGGGAACACAGUAUCUAUCUCCUCCUGCAGUUUGGUCAUGGUGUGGGGGUUACCUUGUUGGGGAACACAGUAUCUAUCUCCUCAUGCAGUUUGGUCAUGGUGUGGGGGAUACCUUGUUGGGGAACACAGUAUCUAUCUCCUCCUGCAGUUUGGUCAUGGUGUGGGGGUUACCUUGUUGGGGAACACAGUAUCUAUCUCCUCCUGCAGUUUGGUCAUGGUGUGGGGGAUACCUUGUUGGGGAACACAGUAUCUAUCUCCUCCUGCAGUUUGGUCAUGGUGUGGGGGUUACCUUGUUGGGGAACACAGUAUCUAUCUCCUCCUGCAGUUUGGUGAUGGUGUGGGGGUUACCUUGUUGGGGAACACAGUAUCUAUCUCCUCCUGCAGUUUGGUCAUGGUGUGGGGGUUACCUUGUUGGGAAACACAGUAUCUAUCACCUCCUGCAGUUUGGUCAUGGUGUGGGGGUUACCUUGUUGGGGAAUACAGUAUCUAUCUCCUCCUGCAGUUUGGUCAUGGUGUGGGGGUUACCUUGUUGGGGAAUACAGUAUCUAUCUCCUCCUGCAGUUUGGUCAUGGUGUGGGGGUUACCUUGUUGGGGAACACAGUAUCUAUCUCCUCCUGCAGUUUGGUCAUGGUGUGGGGGUUACCUUGUUGGGGAACACAGUAUCUAUCUCCUCCUGCAGUUUGGUCAUGGUGUGGGGGUUACCUUGUUGGGGAACACAGUAUCUAUCUCCUCCUGCAGUUUGGUCAUGGUGUGGGGGUUACCUUGUUGGGGAACACAGUAUCUACCUCCUCCUGCAGUUUGGUCAUGGUGUGGGGGUUACCUUGUUGGGGAACACAGUAUCUACCUCCUCCUGCAGUUUGGUCAUGGUGUGGGGGUUACCUUGUUGGGGAACACAGUAUCUACCUCCUCCUGCAGUUUGGUCAUGGUGUGGGGGUUACCUUGUUGGGGAACACAGUAUCUAUCACCUCCUGCAGUUUGGUCAUGGUGUGGGGGUUACCUUGUUGGGGAACACAGUAUCUAUCACCUCCUGCAGUUUGGUCAUGGUGUGGGGGUUACCUUGUUGGGGAACACAGUAUCUAUCUCCUCCUGCAGUUUGGUCAUGGUGUGGGGGUUACCUUGUUGGGGAACACAGUACCUAUCUCAACCUGCAGUUUGGUCAUGGUGUGGGGGUUACCUUGUUGGGGAACACAGUAUCUAUCACCUCCUGCAGUUUGGUCAUGGUGUGGGGGUUACCUUGUUGGGGAACACAGUAUCUAUCUCCUCCUGCAGUUUGGUCAUGGUGUGGGGGUUACCUUGUUGGGGAACACAGUAUCUAUCACCUCCUGCAGUUUGGUCAUGGUGUGGGGGUUACCUUGUUGGGGAACACAGUAUCUAUCACCUCCUGCAGUUUGGUCAUGGUGUGGGGGUUACCUUGUUGGGGAACACAGUAUCUAUCUCCUCCUGCAGUUUGGUCAUGGUGUGGGGGUUACCUUGUUGGGGAACACAGUAUCUAUCUCCUCCUGCAGUUUGGUCAUGGUGUGGGGGUUACCUUGUUGGGGAACACAGUAUCUAUCACCUCCUGCAGUUUGGUCAUGGUGUGGGGGUUACCUUGUUGGGGAACACAGUAUCUAUCUCCUCCUGCAGUUUGGUCAUGGUGUGGGGGUUACCUUGUUGGGGAACACAGUAUCUAUCUCCUCCUGCAGUUUGGUCAUGGUGUGGGGGUUACCUUGUUGGGGAAUACAGUAUCUAUCUCCUCCUGCAGUUUGGUCAUGGUGUGGGGGUUACCUUGUUGGGGAACACAGUAUCUAUCACCUCCUGCAGUUUGGUCAUGGUGUGGGGGUUACCUUGUUGGGGAACACAGUAUCUAUCUCCUCCUGCAGUUUGGUCAUGGUGUGGGGGUUACCUUGUUGGGGAACACAGUAUCUAUCUCCUCCUGCAGUUUGGUCAUGGUGUGGGGGUUACCUUGUUGGGGAAUACAGUAUCUACCUCCUCCUGCAGUUUGGUCAUGGUGUGGGGGUUACCUUGUUGGGGAACACAGUAUCUAUCUCCUCCUGCAGUUUGGUCAUGGUGUGGGGGUUACCUUGUUGGGGAACACAGUAUCUAUCUCCUCCUGCAGUUUGGUCAUGGUGUGGGGGUUACCUUGUUGGGGAACACAGUAUCUAUCUCCUCCUGCAGUUUGGUCAUGGUGUGGGGGUUACCUUGUUGGGGAACACAGUAUCUAUCUCCUCCUGCAGUUUGGUCAUGGUGUGGGGGUUACCUUGUUGGGGAACACAGUAUCUAUCUCCUCAUGCAGUUUGUAACAAUAGUUUGUAACAGGUUUAUGUUUGUAACAGGUGUUUAUAGUGUUUGUAACAGUAGUUUAAAGGUGUGUGUUUGUAACAGGUGUGUGUUUGUAACAGUAGUUUAUUGGUGUGUGUUUGUAACAGUAGUUAACAGGUGUGUUUGUAACAGUAGUUAA
rnacentral:lncRNA from 1 species